rnacentral:tmRNA from 1 species
GGGGGCGUAAAGGUUUCGACGGGGGAAGCGGUGGCCGGAGCAGCGAGCCGGGGUUCCAUCAGCCCGCAAAACGGUGGAAAAACAAUAACUGCCAAUAACGAAUACGCUUACGCUGCUUAAUUAGCAGCUAACCUCCUACCCGUGCUGGGCCCGUGGCCCGGGCCAGGGGGUCAUCUAAACGGGCUGGCUUGAUCCCAAUUCUCGGAGGGCUUGAGCAAGAUUCAUCGAGAUAGUCCCAACAGAGCCCGGCUGUAGGCGCUCGCGGGGCGAAAUCUAAAUUGCGGCCUGCGCUCGGAGAAACUCCCGCGGUCGGUCUUCCGGACGGUGGGUUCGAUUCCCCCCGCCUCCACCA